CAGGACUCGAAGGACCUCUAGGAGGAAAACACGUUGGGUGCUGUGCCACUUGGAAGGUAUGCCAACACGAAGAACACACAGAAGAACUGUCCGGGCUCAGCCCCUUAGAAACCCUGCAAUAUCCUCCCCUCUGCCUCCAGAAUCUGCCCCAAUGACCCGCCGCAAGAGGGCCAGCUCUGCUUUACCCCUUCCCUCAAAAAAGCUUUGCACCCCUAGAUUCUCUACUUCAGUAACUUCCUCAGCCAUCACUAUCAUCACACACACCUACACUUUAUCACCAGCGCCUACUCCAACAACCUCCUCAGCAAUCACUUUAUCACCAGUGCCUACUCCAACAACCAUCUCGACCUUCACUUUAUCAACAUCACCAAUACCAGCCACUGAAAUGGUAGCAUCCACCUCUGGGCCUCAUGACCUAAUCACUCCCCAUCUCCUAACCCCCCCCCCAGCCAUACCUCUCCUGCUGAGAUCCACUUUAGA